GCAUUUUUGAGAGAUUCAGCUCUCACACAGUCAGAUCCUGUGAAACUGGAAUAGGAAAAUAGGAAACUGAAAUCCGGACACAAUUCUGAGAUACCAAUUAAUACACAUUUUUAUAAAACAGGUUCCAAAAUAAAUCCUCUUCCUUCCCAGCAAACCUCAGCGUUACCUUGGUUACGCACAUUAAACUGUGCAUAUAUUUUCUUGUAAUCACACUGUUAAACUAUUUCUCCAAAAGAUACUAAAUGACUGAAACAGGAAAGUAAAUGUGUAUUGUCUCAGCUAUCUGCUUCCAAACCAUAGGACUGUCUGCAUAUCCCUCUCUUCAGCCAACUACACUGCUUAUAGUUUAAUGCAUAAAGCAGCAAAAACCACCGAUUGACCACAAGCAGAUGCAAUCUUCAAUGAAAAUGCUUCUGUUUAGCACUGAGAAUCUUCUCCAAAAAUUAAAAUCUGCUCAAAUCACUACAGUAUUCCAGACAUUCCUGAGAGCAUAAAGAGAAAAAACUUUCGUUAAAGAGUCACUUUUCCCCACAGAUUAACUACAUGUCUCAGAAAGGCUAC